UCCACUACGAAGCCUUUACAAAGAUACACAGAUAACUGGUAGCCUGCUAGAGUUUCAGUAGCGAUGCGGACCACAACCCGUUAAUGAGAAAGCACCUUAGCGAAGGCUACUGCUCCAGAUCGUGCACCCAACACCUUCCCCCUCCUUGCCCUUUCGGUAAAGCCACCAGCUAACUAAAUGCCUAAUUAUUCGGCUAAAAUCAGAGCCAUGUGAUGUUGUGGUUGUACUGUUUUCUUGGGUGGUUCUCCAUGUUCCGAUUAAAACAAGUGUUCUUGCAAUUAAAUAUGUAUAGAAACAUAAAUAAAACAUGAUUAGCAUCUUUCAUGAUUAGAACAUUACCAACC
rnacentral:lncRNA from 1 species